GAUGAACGCUGGCGGCGUGCCUAAUACAUGCAAGUCGAGCGAAUGGAUUGAGAGCUUGCUCUCAAGAAGUUAGCGGCGGACGGGUGAGUAACACGUGGGUAACCUGCCCAUAAGACUGGGAUAACUCCGGGAAACCGGGGCUAAAACCGGAUAAUAUUUUGAACUGCAUGGUUCGAAAUUGAAAGGCGGCUUCGGCUGUCACUUAUGGAUGGACCCGCGUCGCAUUAGCUAGUUGGUGAGGUAACGGCUCACCAAGGCAACGAUGCGUAGCCGGCCUGAGAGGGUGAUCGGCCACACUGGGACUGAGACACGGCCCAGACUCCUACGGGAGGCAGCAGUAGGGAAUCUGCCGCAAUGGACGAAAGUCUGACGGAGCAACGCCGCGUGAGUGAUGAAGGCUUUCGGGUCGUAAAACUCUGUUGUUAGGGAAGAACAAGUGCUAGUUGAAUAAGCUGGCACCUUGACGGUACCUAACCAGAAAGCCACGGCUAACUACGUGCCAGCCGCCGCGGUAACAC
rnacentral:rRNA from 1 species